GAGGGUGUAGCUGAGCAGUAGAGCACGUGCUUAGCACGCACGAGGUCCUGGAUGUAGUCCCAGCACCGCCA
rnacentral:tRNA from 1 species